ensembl:lncRNA
CCCAGCUGAGGUGAGGGAGAAAAGGGGAGCCCUCAACACCCCCCAAGGAGGCUGGAGCAGCCAGGGGGGCUCUGGGCUCGCCUGCACCCCUGAGCCCCCCUCUGAGCGCAGUCCCAAGUGGGGGGUCUUAGGGGACCCCAGGGCUGCUGCCGUGCCCAUACCCAGGUCACCUGCCUGCCCAGUGCCUCCCAGCCUGGCUCUCACCUGAGCUGCCAGCUGCGAUGCCGGUGGCCGGUGUCGUUCUGGAGCUGGUGGCCAAGGUGCUGUUGGGCCCAGGGCUCACAGUGGGUGUGGUGGAGUUGGGAGUAGGAGCGGGCCCAGAGGGCCUGGGUGAGGAUGGGGCUGGCACUGCUGUCGAGUUGGGUGGAUGCCCCGUGGAUCUGGGCACACUUGGGUGGGAUGGAGUCGGUGCCAUGGAUGUGUUGGAUGGAGGUGCUGCUGGUGCCAGUGUCCUGGGUGAAGAUGGUUCCAUGGUGAUGUUGGAUGGAGAUGCUGGAGGUGCUGUUGAUCCCAGUGUUCUGGAUGGAGUCAGUGUGGUGGUGUUGGAUGGAGAUGCUGGAGGUGCUGUUGAUCCCAGUGUCCUGGAUGGACUUGGUGUGGUGGUGUUGGAUGGAGAUGCUGGAAGUGGUGUUGAUCCUGUUGUCCUGGAUGAAGAUGGUUUCAUGGUGAUGUUAGAUGGAGAUGCUGGAAGUGGUGUCGAUUCCAGUGUCCUGGAUGGAGUUGGUGUGGUGGUGUUGGAUGGAGAUACUGGAAGUGGUGUUGAUCCCAGUGUCCUGGAUGGAGUCAGUGUGGUGGUGUUGGAUGGAGAUGCUGGAAGUGGUGUUGAUCCCGUUGUCCUGGAUGAAGAUGGUUUCAUGGUGAUGUUAGAUGGAGAUGCUGGAAGUGGUGUCGAUUCCAGUGUCCUGGAUGGAGUUGGUGUGGUGGUGUUGGAUGGAGAUACUGGAAGUGGUGUUGAUCCCAGUGUCCUGGAUGGAGUCAGUGCCAUGGUGGUAUUGGAUGGAGAUACAGGAGGUGCUGCUGAUCCCGGUGUCCUGGAUGGACUCAGUGACACGGCUGUCCCUGAGCUGCUUAGAGCCACUGUGGAGGAGACAUUGGUGCCAUGUCCUAGACCUUGGAGGAGAGAGCUGGUCAGCAAGGACACAGCAGGGCCCUGGCAGGGGCAGGCAGGGCCCCAGGAAGGGCAGCAGCACCUGCCUGGGCUCCCGGUGCCACAGGGAUCAUUUCCCAGGUGUUUUUCAUCACACACAGAAAACUGGGAUUUAGCCAAUAUGGGCUCCCAGAAAUGCAGGGUCAGAAAGAGCCUCCCGACCGGUUGUUGCACAAGCAGAGCAGCGUGGCAGCAGCAGGUAAGUGCCACGGCACGGGGACAUGUGCCAGCCCAGCCCUCGUGGCACCCACCAGACACCCUCAGGGCCGGGCGUGAUGGGGACUCCGCUGGGGCCACGUGGGACGUGGUGGUGUUUUCCGGGCAGUGCCCUUAUCUGCCCAAGUCCUGUUUGCACAAGAGGAGGAGCAGGUCCAGCCUGGCCCCAGGGGGACACUGGAGCAAAAUGCCUCGUGGCAGAGCCAGCACCCAGCGCCAACACCCAGGGGCACAGCGUGGCCGCGGGCUGGGGGUCCCCACGGCUGCCGUGCCCACCAGGACAGGCUGUUCNNNNNNNNNNNNNNNNNNNNNNNNNNNNNNNNNNNNNNNNNNNNNN